rnacentral:lncRNA from 10 species
AAAUUGGGGCUGUUUCUUUUUUAAACCAGUUAUAACAUCUGCCUGGCUCUCUCAGUUAUGGCUACGAGCCAUUGAGCCACUCCCCAAGAAGAGGUCUACAAGAGUUCAUUCUCUCACAGGCUUCAAAAGGAACCAACCCCACCAGCACCUUAAUCUCAGACUUCCAGCCUCUAGAACUGUGAGACAAUAAAUUUCUCCUGUUUAUUCCACACAGUUUGUGGUACUUUGUUUCAGCAGUCCUGGCAAGCUGAGACACCUGUAAACUGG